rnacentral:rRNA from 1 species
AGGGUUUGAUCCUGGCUCAGGACGAACGCUGGCGGUGCGCCUUAUGCAUGCAAGUCGAGCGAAGCUUUUCAGUAGUUUACUACAGAAAAUGACUGAGCGGCGAACGGGUGAGUAACGCGUGAGCAAUCUACCUUAGUUACAGGGAUAGCCCGAGGAAACUCGGAUUAAUACCUGAUAUUCUUUACAUUUCGCAUGAAAUUAAAAGGAAAGGUCAGCCGAACUAAGAUGAGCUCGCGUUCUAUCAGCUAGUUGGUGAGGUAAAAGCUCACCAAGGCAACGACGGAUAGCUGGUCUGAGAGGACGAUCAGCCACACUGGGACUGAGACACGGCCCAGACUCCUACGGGAGGCUGCAGCAGGGAAUAUUGCGCAAUGAGCGAAAGCUUGACGCAGCGACACCGCGUGUGGGAUGACGGAUCUAGGUUUGUAAACCACUUUCAGGAGGGAAGAAAAUGACGGUACCUCCACAAGAAGCCCCGGCCAACUACGUGCCAGCAGCCGCGGUAAUACGUAGGGGGCGAGCGUUGUCCGGAUUUAUUGGGCGUAAAGAGCUCGUAGGCGGUUCAACAAGUCGGUCGUAAAAGUUAAGGGCUCAACCCUGAAAUGUCGAUCGAUACUGUUGUGACUAGGAUACGGUAGAGGUGAGUGGAAUUCCGAGUGUAGCGGUGAAAUGCGUAGAUAUUCGGAGGAACACCAAUUGCGAAGGCAGCUCACUGGGCCGCUAUCGACGCUGAGGAGCGAAAGCUAGGGGAGCAAACAGGAUUAGAUACCCUGGUAGUCCUAGCUGUAAACGAUGGAUACUAGACGUAGGAACUGGAUUGACGGUUUCUGUGUCGUA